UACGUAGGUGGCAAGCGUUGUCCGGAUUUACUGGGCGUAAAGAGCGCGCAGGCGGUCGUUCAAGUCGCGUGUGAAAGCCCCCGGCUCAACUGGGGAGGGUCACGCGAUACUGAUCGACUCGAAGGCAGGAGAGGGUAGUGGAAUUCCCGGUGUAGUGGUGAAAUGCGUAGAUAUCGGGAGGAACACCAGUGGCGAAGGCGGUCUGCUGGGCCGUUGCUGACGCUGAGGCGCGACAGCGUGGGGAGCAAACAGG
rnacentral:rRNA from 1 species